CAAGCAAGGUCUGUCAUAAAAGGGUGUCUGCAGUAAGUACCUGUUCUUGAGUGACAAUCAGCGACCAAUGCUGAGCCUCGCGUUCAAGAGCAACAAUCACACAGUGCUGUCUCAGUGAAAGGACACUGACAAUACAAGAUAUGUGAACUGCAUUUCAACAAGGGCGAUAUUUUAAGCAGUACCAGCAUGUAUGACCCGAAAACUGGUACACUCUUGUCAGCACCGUUGGAUCGUCGACGCUUGAGAAAAGAUGCUAUCCCAUCGAAGUUGCCUGGAUGCCCAUCUUACUUGUCGACUCAUCAAACUGCAGUACGAGAGGACCCAGAAAUUCGCAGGGGGCGUUUAGAAAAUCGUGCUCUUCAAAUUGCUAUCCAAGAAAAUGAUUGAUGCGAUAUCGUUCGAUAGUUUAGAACAAAUGAAAACAAAGAUGAGUGAAUGUGAAAAGCACAGUGACUGGGUAGUGAUAAACAAAUCUGACAGUGUGUGCCUAGUGUUACUAAAGCAUAAUCCUUACCCAAGAAUUUUUUGCCACGUAGUUAUAAGCAGUGGUUUAUUACUCAGUGUCUUCAGUAAUGAUAUUGAAGUGGAAUGUAUUGGAAACAUGAAAUUUCCCAUCAAAGUAAACAACAUACAGGUGGUUCUUAAGAACAUUUAUCUUCUGUGUGAUAGUUGUGAGGCUCCUGUAGAUAACAUUUUGUCUUUAAUUGACCAGUAAUUGCAAAAUUUAUUAGAAAAGUUGCCAGGAAACGAAACUAAAAUUACAUUUUUGAAGGAACAGAUUCCAUUUUUGAAGUGCAGAAGUUCAACUCAAUUUAGGUAUGAUACUAACUCUAUGAUAAUGUGGUCGUUAGUACAUUCUAUAAGCCCACAUGC